GAUAAUGAAGAAGUCGAUCUUAUAUGGAUAAAUAUUUACAUACUGAUGAUGUUGCCAAAAGAGGAGUAUUAAAAAAGAUAAGUCUUAUGUAAAGAUUAUAAGAGAAAAACAGUUGUUUAUAAAAUAUGUGGUAUUAAUGAUACAAAUUUCAAUUGUGUAUACAACCCAAGCAUCAUGUCCUUGUCAAAUUCUUAUGGAAGAGGUAGAAACAACGUCAUCUUUUUAGCAAUCAAUUAAAUCUGGGAACUAUGUUAAAGUUCUCCACUCUCCAGUUGUGAUGAGCUUUUGAAACUUGUUGACUUGUUGUUUCUUGACAGUCGCAUGAAUCAAAGUACCCUGUACGAAGCAAAGAAACAGACUUUAACAUUUGAUGUACACAUAAUAAUUAGAAGAGUAAAUCUAUACUAUUAGUAAGAAGAUGAUUAUAGAUGUAUCAGCAAGAAUCAUCUCGAUAGUCUCCUCGGAGUAUUGGGUGUAUUGAGUCCACGAAUGGACAAUUUUCACUUGGAUGUUCGGUGAUGGGAAGAUUUGCAGCCAUUGUUUCAGAGAUUUCCAAAUCGCAACCGUGAGCAUCAAUCCAGAUCGCAACAGUGAGGAUCAAGCUAAGGACUGGCGGGUCAAGUAUAGGGUCCGCGUGUGGAUCCGUAAGUUAGCCCAUCAUCCUCAUAAAUAACCGAUCCAAUAGCCCAUGAUCCAUGGAUAUUUGUCUAUCAAAUUAUACUUUUAACC